CUUAAAACUUUCUCCUGAAGAGACAUCAUGUCCAUACUGCCCUGGCCCGACACCACCUAGAUUGUCAGCAGAAGAAUUGGUGACAAAAAAGGCAACUAUAUAUGGGAUUCUAGCAAUUCACAAAGAUGUCCAUGUUUACAAGAAAACCUGCCCAGUCUGUGACACACCAGUAAUGUUUCAAGAUUACACAACAGGUUUCCACAACUACAACAACAGAGUGAUUUUGACUUUGCAGCUUUGCUCAUUCCUGACUAAUUUACUAAAGAGUCACACUGCCAUAGGAAGAUUCCUAAAAGCCAUGGAGCUUCAGCUGAACACAACUAUCCACCAUAACACUAUAAGAAAGGCUUUUUUCCACUAUUCUGCUCUCACAGCAUAUGACUACAACUUUUCAUGCCUCAGAUGUGGCCA